GAUGAACGCUAGCUACAGGCUUAACACAUGCAAGUCGAGGGGCAGCAUUUUUCUAGCAAUAGAAGAGAUGGCGACCGGCGCACGGGUGAGUAACACGUAUCCAACCUACCGAUAACUCCGGAAUAGCCUUUCGAAAGAAAGAUUAAUACCGGAUAGUAUACGAAUAUCGCAUGAUAUUUUUAUUAAAGAAUUUCGGUUAUCGAUGGGGAUGCGUUCCAUUAGUUUGUUGGCGGGGUAACGGCCCACCAAGACUACGAUGGAUAGGGGUUCUGAGAGGAAGGUCCCCCACAUUGGAACUGAGACACGGUCCAAACUCCUACGGGAGGCAGCAGUGAGGAAUAUUGGUCAAUGGGCGCAGGCCUGAACCAGCCAAGUAGCGUGAAGGAGGAAGGCUCUAUGGGUCGUAAACUUCUUUUAUAUGGGAAUAAAGUUUUCCACGUGUGGAAUUUUGUAUGUACCAUAUGAAUAAGGAUCGGCUAACUCCGUGCCAGCAGCCGCGGUAAUACGGAGGAUCCGAGCGUUAUCCGGAUUUAUUGGGUUUAAAGGGAGCGUAGGUGGAUUGUUAAGUCAGUUGUGAAAGUUUGCGGCUCAACCGUAAAAUUGCAGUUGAAACUGGCAGUCUUGAGUACAGUAGAGGUGGGCGGAAUUCGUGGUGUAGCGGUGAAAUGCUUAGAUAUCACGAAGAACUCCGAUUGCGAAGGCAGCUCACUAGACUGUCACUGACACUGAUGCUCAAAAGUGUGGGUAUCAAACAGG
rnacentral:rRNA from 1 species